rnacentral:rRNA from 1 species
ACGGGUGAGUAACACGUGGGCAAUCUGCCCUUCACUCUGGGACAAGCCCUGGAAACGGGGUCUAAUACCGGAUAACACUUACCUCCUCCUGGGGGUGGGUUAAAAGCUCCGGCGGUGAAGGAUGAGCCCGCGGCCUAUCAGCUUGUUGGUGGGGUAAUGGCCUACCAAGGCGACGACGGGUAGCCGGCCUGAGAGGGCGACCGGCCACACUGGGACUGAGACACGGCCCAGACUCCUACGGGAGGCAGCAGUGGGGAAUAUUGCACAAUGGGCGAAAGCCUGAUGCAGCGACGCCGCGUGAGGGAUGACGGCCUUCGGGUUGUAAACCUCUUUCAGCAGGGAAGAAGCGCAAGUGACGGUACCUGCAGAAGAAGCACCGGCUAACUACGUGCCAGCAGCCGCGGUAAUACGUAGGGUGCGAGCGUUGUCCGGAAUUAUUGGGCGUAAAGAGCUCGUAGGCGGUCUGUCACGUCGGAUGUGAAAGCCCGGGGCUUAACCCCGGGUCUGCAUUCGAUACGGGCAGACUAGAGUGUGGUAGGGGAGAUCGGAAUUCCUGGUGUAGCGGUGAAAUGCGCAGA